rnacentral:lncRNA from 1 species
UGAAGAUUGUAUGCUUUCCUUUACACCUUCAAGCUUGAAGGUUCCUGGAAGUCUUUAACCGUAACCAGCCCCUCAAUUCAAGCUGUCAAUCCCAUCAAUCAAGCAAUCGAAUAAAGCCGGCCUUACUCAACAAGCACCUAACUCUCUCCUUCGGAAGGCAAUCCCAGCAGCAGUAAGUGAAUCCAUCUAUUAAACCCCCAACACUAAUGGAUGCUUAAGAAAGCGGAA